AAAUUCAGAGUCCUGGAGAAAUUCUGUGGUCUCUGAAGAUCAUUCUUAUCAUCAUCGUGAUCCAAAGUUCAGACACUUGGACCACUCUGUGCUCUACACUGGGAAACUUGACAGAGCAGAAAAUGGCAUAUUCUCAGCUAACAGGCCUCUUCAGCUGUCCAGGAAGGAUUAUGGAGAGAAGUCGACAAACAGCAGCUGGGAACAAAGUCAUGAAGUUCCAAAGAACCUACUGAUGCCAUUUGAAAUCGAAGAGCAAGACGUUGCUGAGUUCAGAAGAUGCUGAAUCCUAAAGUGGUAAAAGAAAAGACCCAAACAGAAGAGUCCAGCUUUCUCAGUUUUCCCAAAGAUAUCUCAGAUCACAGCACUGACAUUGCAUGUGACAUUGAGCAUCAAAGGUUUCAAAAACAAGCAUUUGAGAACUUGUGGAGUUGCUGAGCAAAGAGAGUUUAAUACAGAAAGAUGUUGAAUUUACUAAUAUAUCUUAUGGGGAAGAAACAACUCAAGUCCGUUUCUAGGACCUCCUACGUCAUCCUUACUCACUGCUGGAUUGAAAAGGUUAUUGAGGGAGUAGAGAUCGUCAGAGGAUCCAGCAUGCAACACAGAAGAAAGAGACGUCUCAUUGCCUUCAGGGAGAGUCUUCCUGCCGUUCAGGAUACUAAAUGCAUAUUUAACAACCAUUCCCUUGGAAGAUGCUGCACAUUAACCACUUUAUGUUGCACCAAUCAGCUGUUCGGUUCGAUUGUCCUGCUCAACUGUUCAGGAAUUUUUGGAGGGAUUUUUUUGACUUCUGAAACUCAUCUAAAGAUUUGCUGCAAACCACAACAGAGUGGGGAGCUCAUGAACUUCAAGCCCUGUGAUUAUCAGUGCUUCCAAGAGCUGAUGUCGCUAACCAGUAGUUUUAGGCUUGACCAUCUAAAUACUCACUUAUGCCACAGACAGGUAAGUAUCUUUUGCUUAAUUUUGCUAUAAGUAUGAAACUGUUGUUUUCAAGCCAAAGCAUGUGGAGGGAGGAAGAGGAGGAGCUAAUUUCUAAUUACAGAGGUGCAGCUCCUCUAUUUUAUGGGCAGCAGUAGAGGGGAGAAGAGCAGAAAUGAUUUUUCUUUGAUGACUGAAGAAAUAUUUAUGAUAUGCCAUUCUCAGAGAGAAAAAAUUACUGGAAUUUCACAAUACUACUCACUCUGAGUUUCUUGGCUCUAGUUACUUUUUAUUUUUCCUGAUUCCAUACAGAUUUGAUACUGUGAAAGCAUAACCCACCUUUCAAGUUCUUUAUUAAUACAGAAAAGUUGUGUCAGGCAGCCGAGGUCCUCAUGCCACCAAAAUCAGUUUCUAAUCAUUACCUGGUAUAGGAGACCUGCUUUGGCAGGGGGGUUGUACUCAAUGAUCUCUGCGGGGUCCCUCCCACACCCUGUGAUUCUGUGUUCAUCUCUUACUAAAGAUUCUUGAUUAUCUAGAAUAGACUGUUGAGAACAAUGGAAAAACAUACAACUGAAUUUUAACAUUGGGGCUCAUAGUCUUGAUUUCAGGGAAUUUGGUCAUGCAACAGUGAUACACACUCAGAAAUCUGUUAUGUAUUACAUUGUACUGUGCUUAGCCUUUUAGCAUACAGAUUUUGAUCCAAUCUUAAGGAAAGCAUUUUGUAGAAAGUACAAAAAUGAAGUGUCCUUUUACCUCAAAUACUUUAAUUAUCCCUACAUUCUUGUUAUGAAUCUGUCCUUGUUAUGAAUUAAUUUAAAUACGGUUUUCAGCAUACCUAAAUCGGUAUCUUGAUAAAUAAAUAUCACCUGCAGGGAACGCUGAGUGUUUUUUUAACUCUGCAUAUCAUUGUUUAUUGUGGUACUAAUUGUGAAAGAAUGUCACCAUUUGAAAGACGCCUGCAACCGCUGGCCUACUGUUUGAUUUGCUAAUGCAGUGUCAUGAAGCAGUAGUACAUCAUGAAAUUUACUAUGUUUCUUUAGUAAAUAAUGAAAUGGGGAAGGUUGCAAUGUGAUUGACUACUAUGAACAUUUUUGAUUACCUGUUAGCAUUGAGUGUAAAAUUCAGUCCCUCUUCCUCAAGCUCUUUCUGCCUACAUUAUUUUCUCUUCUUUUCCAUAAGAACUUUGGCAAUGAAAUGAAUGUUUUUAAGCACCUGAAAAAUAAUUCAAUUACAAGAAUUUCCUGAGCUGCACCUGUUUGGCUACCUCUGGGGAACAGCUGCCAGUCGGGGUUGUGACAGGAGUCAGCGGAGCUCUCCAUGAGCAAUGAGUGAGCAUAAAGUUCAGCUCCUUGGAAAGACAGUUUCCUGCAGUGUCUCUUCAGUAUUCACUCUUUCUUCUAAUUCCCAGCUUGAAUGAAUGCAGCCAUGAGACUGACAGAGUCCUCCAGUAAAGCAGGCAGAACACAGUAAGGGCAGACAGUUCUGAGAUAGGAAGGAAGGGAAGAAUGUGGGUCAGAGUUGCUGUAUAACACAGCCUGGAACAUCAGGUAAGAAAAAAACUCAAAGAACAACAACAACAACAAGAAAACAAAACAGGGUAAAACUGGAAAAAUUAAAAAAGAGUUUAAAUUUAAAGGAAUGCCCAACUCCAAGGUUAUAUUAGAACAGGAUUAAUACACACAGCAAAGGAUAAAAUACACACAAUAGUAAUUUUGAAAGCUUAAUUUUGAGAGAAUCUAAAACCCACAUAUUACACUUCUCUGACAAUUCUUUUUUUUCCCCCCCAGUUUUACUGCAUUGAACGUAUGAGUGAAAUACAUGUGUGCUAAUACUCUGCUUCUCUCCAAACAGUAACUUAAGGGGAAUCUCAUUAAAAACACUCUGAACAGACAAACAAAGUGGCAAUGUAAUCUUAAUGAGGCAAGGUGACUUCUUGCUGUGCAAAUGUGCAGAGACCUGUAAAACCGCAGUUGUCCUUCCACUCACUGAAGACAAUUGUAAGCAUCUGUCAAGUGCACCACUGUCCUAUUUACUGGUGAGACUGACCAGGUGAGCUGCACGUAAGGACACCUCUGCCAAUAAAAAGGUCAGCAUUACCAUUUUGAGAAACUGUGUUACUUCAGGUUUUGAACUGCUACAGUUUCAUUGUGAUAAGUUUCCAUUUUGAAUUACAGCUUUUGGUUUUGUUAAUUAAUUCAUUAAAAAUACAAACUUCGGCUUCUUUAAUACUUCCAAUGGCUGCCAUUUUGAAUGGAGGUAAUCACGAGCAGCAAGGAGUGGCAGGGUGGAAUGUCUGGGGUUUCACCAUGCUGUGAAUUGUUCCUUGUGGUUUGAAAGAUGUUUGUUGCACGCUUCUUUUAAGAAAAAAAGCCCUUUAUUCUCAAUUUCAAGAUGUUUCAAAAAUUCAGGAUCAUUUGUCUGGCGGGUUUUAUUUUUUUAAUCCUUGUUUUGGAGCGAAGCAUGGAAAGGAUAGGAAAAGAACAAGGAAGAUUCUCUUACAGCAUAACAUGACUGUAUUUUUAUAAAAACAAACCCAGAAUGAAAGCUGGAAGCGUAUCUGAAAUGUAGCUUCUGACAUACAGAAAUAUUAUCAAAAGAAAAGACAAGAAAAAAGCUCCCUCGAUAUCAGAAUACAUUGUAAUUUUUAUCCAAACACAUCUGAAUCUUUUUAUGUUCCACCUAACAUAAAGCACACUGGAUAACUUGGGACAUUUCAGUUUAUGAUGAUGUCAUUCAGCCUCAGUUCCAUACUUCAGAUCAUACUGGAAUAAGGUGAUGCCAAAUAAAUAAGGAAUUAUUUUUGUUUAUUCCUACAAGAUGCUGAAUAGAUCCAUUUUUAAAAUGUAGUUUUAUUUAAAUUGACUACUUGUAUUUUACAUAUAGUUACUAUGAUUAUUGCUGUCUGGGGUCUGGCUUUUGUUCUCUUUUCAGGUUUUUUUUAUGGUAACAUGUAGAUGCUCUAAUUUGGAACACAGGCUUACUGCAAAUUUAUUUUGUAACUGGGGAUGUGCAGUGUAUUUCACACUAUGUCCAUUCUAUUUGUUCCUUAUUGUCAUCUUAAUUUUUAAUCUAUACUAUUUGUGGGAUUAGUGCUUAUACCUAAUUUUUGCUUAGCUCUGAAGUACAAAGCUAACUCAUUUGAUAUAAGGCAAUGGAACAAGUUCUGAGUUGUGUAAAAUAUUGUGUAUUGUAAAAUAUUGUGCGAAUGUGAAAUAUAGGCAGGGAAGGGUGCACCUGGAUGAAGGGAAAUUUGAAUUAAUAUUAUUAGUAAGUAUCUCAUAAAAAAAGACAGGUCUGAAAGAAUCUUCAAAAAAUAUUUUAUUUUCCUUUUGUUUCUUAUUUGUUACAAAACCACCUCCAUAAAAUAAUGAUCGAGAUUAAAUUGGGCUCCAAGAGGUUGUUAACGCAGUUAAAAUUGCAAGAGUAUUUUGUGAAUUAUUGGCACUUAGUUUUUUCCAGAUGGGACUUCUUGUGGGUAUAUAUGUGCUUUUUAAAGGUCUAAGGCCAACUUGGUAGCUAAGUAAUAACAAAUAUCAAUCUCAGUGAGCAUAUUCUAUGACAAUGAGGAGGGAAUUGUCUUAAAAGUAUUUAAUAUCAAUGAAUAGACCUUACAGUUCUGAAGAAAACAGCAGCGCCAUCUUUUGUUGGAACAGACCAACUGCAGCUUUCAAAUACCAAAGCGUAGAUCCAUUCUGAUUUGCAAUUAGUAUUUUAUAUCAGAAGGUUGUUUACCAAUAGUAAGGCAGCAUCUGUCUUAACAAGGAAGUAAAUACAAGAAAGGCUGUUCACUCUGUUUGCUGAAUAUUUGCUGAGGGAGAAAAGAUUUCAAAUAUGAACACAGUUACCAACGGCAGCUGGGACCUAUUUAGAGCUUACUUACAUUCUGUUUGACUGCUAUACUUUUAUAAAUGAAAGUACUUCAGGAAAAGUCCUUAAGAGUACACAUAACUUCUUUUCUUAAUCAAAAAGUCAGUGCAUUCAAGUUUGAUUAAACAUAGCUGAUAUUUUAAGAGGGAAUUUAAAAUAAAAUAAAGUAAAAUAAAAAGUUGUACUUACCUACCUGUAACCCGUAGUGCUGCUGAAUCACAAUUUAUUUUCUGAGUUUGAGAGAUCAAACAUGAGCUGGUCAGAAGGUCUUUGUUUCCUGUUUUGUGGCUUAGGGAGGAAAGGGUGACACGAAAAACAGCAGGUAAUGGACAUGAAAAUGCAGAAACUUCUAUAUCUCGAGUCUUGUUUGCUGUGUCUUACGGCAGCUUAACAAGGAAUGGUGCUUCAUGAUCAAAGGAGUUUGUAAGAAGUAUCUUAGUGAACUUUUAUAGUGCCUUUCAAAACUGGGAGUAUUGCUGCUUUAAUUAAGUGGUUAUCAGUUUUUCAUUUUUCCAAGUACUCAGAUACACCAGAUCCAUGCCUGCAUUUUUUUUCUAUGUGUAAUUUGCUCAUUUAUACCUAUUACUUCAUAUUUCAGUUGUUUUUUGACACUUUUAUGACUGAUUAAAUCAGAACUCUUAAAUCUGCAUAUACGGCUGUCAGUCUCUCGCUGAAGAUCUGCAAUAGAUUACCUAUGGACUCUGCAGUUUGAUGCCAGUACCUCAAAAGGAAUUUAAAAAUAAAUAAAUAAAGAGUGAUAGAGUUACAGCACCUAACCAACAGGCUUUUAUAAUACUCACUGCAUUCUUUCUCCCAUUCUUCCUUCCCACAAUACAGAAGAUUCCCAUUUGGAAGUUCAAGAUGGUUGAAGAUGGUGGGAGGGAAAAGGGUAAAGAAUUCUCAGCAAUGUGAAUGCUAUAUUUGGAGCAUUCUUGGACCUGGCUAUCCCCUCUUAAAAAAACAUCUGAUUUGGGAUAUAACAAAGGUAUUUCAACCUGCCACCACUCAUCCUGUACUGCAGCAGAGAGUGUUAAAACUGAAUUUUCCUCUAAAGCCCUGGUAGUAAGAGCUCCCAUGUAGAGGGGCCCUACUUUGCACACUGGACAUAUCCAUAAGGGCAGCCGUUAUAUUCUUGCUCUGUCCAACCCCCAAAAUCUCAGUGCCUUUUGUUUUUCAGGGAUUAUCCAAACUUAUUAUAUAAAUGACACUUUGCUUUACAACCAGAAUUUUCUAAACCAAUCUCGUCACUUCAACACAGGAUAUAUUUUCAUUCACCUUUUCUACAUUUAGAUUCAGGCUUCCAGCACUUGAUGAGGCAUUGGGAAAUCUGUUUUAUUUUGUUCUCAUUAGAUGGUUCAUUUCCUUUGAAAAAGGACUGUGUUUGUAUUUUACAUGUAUAGGAAAUGAACUGGCUUGUGUAAGACAAAUAACAAACACUAUUAGAUCUUUAGUCUUUUUAGCUGUCAAGAAACAAAUUUAGUAAUAUUUCAGUAUCUUGUUUUAGGGGCCUUGGAAAGUGCCUUGAAAGUGUCAAACAGCUCGUCCUAUGAAAAAAGAGGGGGGUGGGGGUGGAAUAAAAUCUAUUGAGAUUUAAGAAAAAGACACAGCCUUCUUCUAGUUACAGGGAUCUGUGCUGUGACUUCCACAAGUCUGAAGCUAAACAGAUGAGUUUAGACUAUGGUCUUGCUGUGCUAAGCCCUGCUAACUCUACCAUGUUACCAUUAUCAGUAAAGGAUUUGGCAAGUUUCUAAGUUACUAUUUGACCUGACACGUAUGUUCAGAUCUCUGGGGCCUGACUCAGGUGGGCCUGAACUUAGAAACGUGCAACCUCCUGAUAUUUAGCUACGGAAUAGACUCCAGACCUCUGCCUUGCCAUGAAGACUAUCCUAAAGUCUGCGAGGUAUAAAAUAAGAAAUCUCGUAAUCCUCAGUUAUAUUAUUACUGUUUUUUUUUCCAAAUCCAAAAUAAAACCUGGAGAAUAAAAAGGUUUCUCUAUUUGAUCUACUUUGACAAUAGAAUUAAAAUCUAAGUAAUAUAUAAUAUGAGUAUAAAUAAAUUAAUAUCUACAAUUAAGAAGCUGAUCGUGCAAUUUUUAUUGUUUUUCUAACAGGCUUGUAUGAUAAUGUCUAUAUCACAGUUCCAAAAAUGCAAACUGCAAAAGUCUCAAUUAGUUUUACAAAUAAAAACAGUUUGCUCAGGCAGCAAAAUGUUAAUGAGCACACCUCAAUUAACCUCUAUUUAUUUUGUUGGUACAAAUUAUUAACAAGGUUUCACAUGAAAAUAAAUGAGCAGCUUCAUCCUAUGUUUGUAGCUUACAUGGAUAGACAAGGCCAGAGUUUUGAUAGAUUCUAGUUUGAAUUUCUUCUUAAUUGCUUUUUUUUUUGAAAGCCUUAUUCAUGUAACCUCUUAGAGACUUCACAGAAACAAUGCUUUGACGAGUAUUUGCACAUCAUUGCACAUUAACAGCAUGUAAAAUUACACACAUUUAUUUAGUUAUUACAGAUAUGACUUCAAUACAUUUACUGGAGUUAUAGUUUAACAUAUUCAUUCUUUCUAAUGAAUUUUUGCAUAAAAUCUUGGGGAGGAGUUUGUUUUAUGACCUGAUGCUGUAGUGACAUUUGAGUAACUGACCUAGUUGUAAAGGAUGUUUCCAUAGCAGUAAGGGUACAAUCAGUUGUCAAAUGACACAGGAAAGUAACUGUGCACUGAAUUCAGUCUCUGCUGCCUUUACAGAUCAAGAAGAGUUACUUUUAUCCUUGUAAAAGUGUAAGAGUUCUCAAAAAGCUGUACAUGAUGAACAGUGAGGAAGGCUACUCAAAGCUCUAUAGCCAGAUGAGUCACACUCAUUGCCAUCCACAACGGCACUCUCCAAGGCCUGUGAAACAAUAAGGUAAUUUAUAAAAACUUUUCCACUGAAGUCAUAUACAGUCAGUGAAUCUAACCUUUAUUUUAGUGGCACUCGAAUUAGGACAAAGUUCCAUUCUGAAAAGAUUAUUCAGAAUAAAAGACAGAGGAACAUCAAGUAUUUUAUAUCAUUUUCAGAAUAAAAUAACCCACAAGCCAUAACCACAACAUACCAAGACAGUGGUGUGAGACUAAUUCCUCAUUUCAAAAUAUUGUUUCCUCUGUGUUGUAUAUUGGUCCCGGUUUAGCCAUCAUUAUCCACCUACAGUCAUGACAUUUUGUAAUUAGAAUUUGGGAUAUGAAAGUAAUUGUUACUUUCCUGAAGGUGACGCUGACAGAGAGGCAAUUUAGUGCCUAUGAGAUAAAACAGAGGUAGUUCCUUCUAUAUGGGACUACCAUCCCAUGUUUAGGUGUUGUACUAAGGGACAUAGUUUAGUGUGGAAAUAUGGUUGGUAGGCAGAUGGUUGGACUGAGUGUUCUUGGAGGUCUUUUCCAACCACAGUGAUUCUGUGGUUCUAUGAUUCUAACACAGAGCAGAUUUAAUGCUAGCAAUAAACAAGGAUUUGCAGACCCAACAGAAGAAUCUAUGUAGGAUGUUCCAAAAGUAAUGCUUUCUAUUUAUUUCCAUGGAAACUAUACACAACAAAGAGCACAAUAACAGUAUUUGAUAGAGCAGGCUUUCAGCUGCCAUCCAUGUCACGACAAUAAAAUUUAAUGGAACAUUUGAGGGAAGGUUCAACCCUUAUUGCCAUACCACCAACACCCAUAUCUGAUGGCACGAGACAGCAUAACAAAAAUGGGAGGCAUUACUUUUGGAGCUCCACAUAUUUACCUAUAACAUAGAGAAAAAAAUCUUAUAAUCUUCCAGUGAAUGAAACUGUCCCUUUUUUAGUCACAUCAACAGAAACUUGACCCUUGAAAGUAUAGUACUUAUUUUGUUUUCCCCCUCUGUCACUGUAACCACAAGUCUCAGCUGAGUAUCCAGGAUGAGGAGGUGGAGAAAAUUGCUGUCUUACUUUUCCCUAGGAUAAAUUAUUCGAUUGACUGCCCUGGAAUUACAUCAAUACAAACAACAGUACAUACUGCUUAAAAGUACUUGCAUCACCCAACUGUUCUGUAAGACUUAGGGUAAUUUCAGGAUGUCUACCUCCUUUACUAGUCCAUAAAAACCACCUCCUCAAGACAUUCAGCUAGAUCUCAGAGUACAACACUGCUGCAUUUGUUUCUCCAGGUCUCUAAAGCAUGAGUCGUUUGAAAUGUUACUUAGUACGCUCAAAUAUUCAAGUUUUUACUAAUUAAAAAAAUACAUAUAUAAUUUUAAUACCACUUAAAUGCUAUUAAAAUUAUCACAUACUAUUUCAUACUUACAGAAUAUGUUGAAAAGGAGUGUGUAUUUUAGAACACCUUUAAAAAGUCUGCUAUUCUUUUCUAUUCUUAUAAAUUUUGCCAUGAUGUUUAUAUAAAGAAAUUUAAUUGAAAUAGAUUUUCAUAAUUGAAUACUUCUGAAGACAUGUUGCAGAUCUGUAAAAGUCACUAACACAAUUUUUGAUCUUCCCCUAUUUCCCCUGUUUCUGUGAUCUAUAAGAAACAUCAUUGUCUCUGCCUGUACAUUAACAUUUUUAGAUUUCUUUACAACAAUACAGUACAUCCCGUAACCGUAAUUUUCCCUAGAGCUGAAAGCUGUUUCAAAUGAACAUGAGUCAGUCAGAACUUUUGAGAGCAAUGUUGCAAAGCUGUAAGUGUUGCUUACUAUUCCCAUGAAUACUGCCUUUUGGAGGCAGUACGUCAAGUGUCAGAAGUGAUAUGAAAUCUACUUUAUCAGAGUAUCUGAAGGCAAAGUGAUAUUUUCAAAGACAUUGCUAUAUUUAUUCUUGCUAACUUAGAAAAGAAAUAGAAUUAGGCUGACAAAUGAAACACAUGAAGUUAAUGACGUCUUCCAGAAUGAUUUAACUAUGGGCCCAGACAAAACUUAGGGGAACUUUUAAUGCUGAAAAAAUUCAUAUUAAUUAUUAGCUAUUUAAAUUCAGUCACAAGCCUGUUUACUGGAAUGAUGCUAACACGAAAUGGUUUGAUUUUGAGCACUCUGAUAACAGCUUAGACAUCAUCUCAGUUCUAAAAUGGUGGCUCAGCUCCUAAUCUGAUCUUAUCCUAGAAGUCCAUACCACUAUAAUUGUGCCAAUUUACAAAAACAGCAAAACAUUCACUUUUGUUUCCUUAAAGGUUUUGUUCGUUUGUUUGUUUUUAGUGUUAGAUUACUGGAUUGUUUUAUGGAGAAAAAAAAUCUUUGACGAAAACUUCAUCAAAUACACAACUCAGCUCUUCUAGAGCUGGUAUUAACGAAGCUCAAACAUUAGUAGCUUGGGAUAUUUCCUAAUUAUUCUUCCUCUUAAGGUAUUACAUAUUUGAAACUGGCAAUGAUCAUAAAUAAAAAGGAAUACAUCUGAAAAAAAAGAUUAUUUCAAAGUAUUCUGGAAUUAGGACUGGGAAUUUUUGAAGCACUAGGAAUUGGAAAGCUAUUCUAUUUCACUCACUUAUAAUACCUCAUGUUAACUUCUUUGCUAUUCAGAGCAUGGUAUAAUUCAUUAGUUACUAAUUAAUUGAACUCAACCUUUCUUUUCUGAGCACCAUGCUUGAGUGCCACUUUCAAAGGAAAGGUUGUACCUUUCACUUGGAAUAACUACCUUUCAAAUGUUGUUCUCCAAGGAGUAGAAAGCCCUCUUUGUAAAACUAUCCUUCUAGGAGUCAAUAUGAUUAUGUUAGCAAUUAAACUCCUAUCAGAAGCAGGAGAGAACUGAUGAUGGCACAAAAAGAAUUAAAUAAAUUGGAAUGCAACACAAACAAUUUACUUCUUUCUGGAAAUAUUGUUACCCUUCCUGGAGAAGUGCAAUUCCUAUUGAUGACAUCACUGUUAAUAUUUAUUUCAAUUCCAGUUUCAUUCAUGUGGACUGUCUUGGGGUAGAUGCUGUCUCUGAUUUCUGAUGGCUUUGCUCAUUUCUGUCAACAUUAAAUGGAGAGGAGAGAAAAGUCAUACAUUAAUCUUUCCAAACUUGUCAUGUUUAAAAAGAGCGUGAUCUUGACAAGAUUACUGUUUCACAGAAAUCCCUCUAAAAUUCUUGAUAUUGACAACUUUCAUAAAAUGAGUAAAUAUACAGAACUGAUUUAUUGUUGUUUUUUAGAAGACCUGGAUAUAAAAGAUUGGGAUUUCCACAGUUGUCUACAGUCAGAGUCUCUAAAAUCAUUUGUCCUGUACGUCCUUAUGCUGUACAUAAAAUUGCAAGUCUGUGUUUAAUGAAUGAUGCAUGAAGAGUUGUUAGGAAUUUGUGCCGUAGGGGAAGACUAUUCUGAGUCAUGAAUAGUGCUGAACUGUAGACUCAUUAAUCUGAUUAAAAGCAUGGCUCAUUACAAUCUAGCUGGUUAUGCAAGUUUUAAAUAACACAGUUUGCCUGAGAUCUCAUUCAUUGAAGUAAUUAUGCAUUUGUUUUUAUGGUAUUUUUCAUCAACCUGCAGUAUUUUUAUAUGAUUUCCAUCAUGACAUUUCAAUUGGAUGUACAAGUGCUACACCUCCAUGUUGACAAAAUAACCUAAUUUGCAGUAUCUUACUUAGGUUUUAACUUUUGGGUAUCAGUUGGAAUAAGUCA